rnacentral:rRNA from 1 species
GAUGAACGCUAGCUACAGGCUUAACACAUGCAAGUCGAGGGGAAACGACAUCGAAAGCUUGCUUUUGAUGGGCGUCGACCGGCGCACGGGUGAGUAACGCGUAUCCAACCUGCCCACCACUUGGGGAUAACCUUGCGAAAGUAAGACUAAUACCCAAUGACGUCUCUAGAAGACAUCUGAAAGAGAUUAAAGAUUUAUCGGUGAUGGAUGGGGAUGCGUCUGAUUAGCUUGUUGGCGGGGUAACGGCCCACCAAGGCGACGAUCAGUAGGGGUUCUGAGAGGAAGGUCCCCCACAUUGGAACUGAGACACGGUCCAAACUCCUACGGGAGGCAGCAGUGAGGAAUAUUGGUCAAUGGACGAGAGUCUGAACCAGCCAAGUAGCGUGCAGGACGACGGCCCUCUGGGUUGUAAACUGCUUUUAGUUGGGAAUAAAAAGAGGGACGUGUCCCUUAUUGUAUGUACCAUCAGAAAAAGGACCGGCUAAUUCCGUGCCAGCAGCCGCGGUAA